rnacentral:lncRNA from 1 species
UAAUGACCAUUACAUGUAAAACAAACCCACUAAUAAAAAUCAUUAGUUACUCAUUCAUUGAUCUCCCCGCACCAUCUAAUAUCUCUAUAUGAUGAAACUUCGGCUCACUUCUUGGUACCUGCUUAAUCCUCCAGAUCCUCACAGGGUUAUUUCUGGCCAUACACUACACACCAGAUACCUCGUUUGCUUUCUCUUCAGUCGCCUAUAUUAACCGAGAUGUGGACUACAGCUGAAGAGUCCACUAUUUUCACACUAAUGGCUCUUCAACAUUCUUCAUCUGCCUCUUCCUACACGUCGGCGGAAGCUUAUAUUAAGGGUCAUUCAUAUAUUUAGAAAUCUGACAUAGUGGCAUUAUGCUCCUACUCACAACCACAGCAACAGCAUUUAUAGGCUAUGUUCUUCCAUGAGGCCAAAUAUCAUUCUGAGGCGCUACCGUAACCACAAACCUACUAUCAGCCAUCCCAUAUAUUGGAACUGACCUUGUCCAAUGAAUCGGAGGUGGAUUUCCAGUUGACAAAGCCACUCUUACACGAUUCUUCGCCUUCCACUUCAUCUUACCUUUCACCAUAAUAGCCCUAACACUUCUCCACCUUUUAUUCCUACACGAAACAGGGUCUAAAAAUCCUUCAGGAAUUUCAUCACAUUCUGACAAAAUCACCUUCCACCCUUACUAUACAACCAAAGAUAUUCUAGGUUUAAUUUUUCUCCUCCUCCUUUUAAUAAUUCUAGUACUGUUUUCGCCUGACCUCCUGAGUGACCCACAUCAUUACACCUUAGUCAACCCCCUAAAUACCCUGCCCCACAUUAAACCACAGUGAUACUUUUUAUUUGCAUACGCAAUCUUAUGAUCCAUCCCCAAUAAACUAUGAGGCGUACUGGCCCUUCGAUUAUCCAUUCUCAUUCUAGCAGUUGUUCCUGCCCUCCACACAUGGCAAACAACAAAGCAUCAUAUUCCGCCCAUUAAGUCAAUAUCUGUCCUGAAUCUUAGUCACCGACCUAUUCACACUCACAUGAAUUGGAGGACAGCCAGUUGAACAUCCUUUUAUUACCAUCGGACAGAUAGCAUCUAUGAUAUAUUUCUCUAUUAUUCUUGCCCUCAUACCACUCACCACCCUAAUCGAAAAUAAACUACUUA